GAUGAACGCUGACAGAAUGCUUAACACAUGCAAGUCUACUUGAACUUCGGUUUGGGUGGCGGACGGGUGAGUAACGCGUAAAGAACUUGCCUCACAGAUAGGGACAACAUUUGGAAACGAAUGCUAAUACCUGAUAUUAUGAUUUUAGGGCAUCCUAGAAUUAUGAAAGCUAUAUGCACUGUGAGAGAGCUUUGCGUCCCAUUAGCUAGUUGGAGAGGUAACGGCUCACCAAGGCGAUGAUGGGUAGCCGGCCUGAGAGGGUGAUCGGCCACAAGGGGACUGAGACACGGCCCUUACUCCUACGGGAGGCAGCAGGGGGGAAUAUUGGACAAUGGACCAAGAGUCUGAUCCAGCAAUUCUGUGUGCACGAUGAAGUUUGUCGGAAUGUAAAGUGCUUUCAGUUGGGAAGAAAAAAAUGACGGUACCAACAGAAGAAGUGACGGCUAAAUACGUG
rnacentral:rRNA from 1 species